AUUGAACGCUGGCGGCAGGCCUAACACAUGCAAGUCGAGCGGAUGAAGGGAGCUUGCUCCUGGAUUCAGCGGCGGACGGGUGAGUAAUGCCUAGGAAUCUGCCUGGUAGUGGGGGAUAACGUCCGGAAACGGGCGCUAAUACCGCAUACGUCCUGAGGGAGAAAGUGGGGGAUCUUCGGACCUCACGCUAUCAGAUGAGCCUAGGUCGGAUUAGCUAGUUGGUGGGGUAAAGGCCUACCAAGGCGACGAUCCGUAACUGGUCUGAGAGGAUGAUCAGUCACACUGGAACUGAGACACGGUCCAGACUACUACGGGAGGCAGCAGUGGGGAAUAUUAGACAAUGGGCGAAAGCCUGAUCCAGCCAUGCCGCGUGUGUGAAGAAGGUCUUCGGCUUGUAAAGCACUUUAAGUUGGGAGGAAGGGCAGUAAGUUAAUACCUUGCUGUUUUGACGUUACCAACAGAAUAAGCACCGGCUAACUUCGUG
rnacentral:rRNA from 1 species